rnacentral:rRNA from 1 species
CCCAGACAGCCAGGAUGUUGGCUUAGAAGCAGCCAUCAUUUAAAGAAAGCGUAAUAGCUCACUGGUCGAGUCGGCCUGCGCGGAAGAUGUAACGGGGCUAAACCAUGCACCGAAGCUGCGGCAGCGAACGUAUCACUUAAAGCGAUUCAGCGGAUGACGAUUGACGGAGCGAAGCGACGUCAAAGCGUAUACAAAGUCGAGUCGGUUUAAGGAUACGUUCGUUGGGUAGGGGAGCGUUCUGUAAGCCUGUGAAGGUGGCCUGUGAGGGUUGCUGGAGGUAUCAGAAGUGCGAAUGCUGACAUAAGUAACGAUAAAGCGGGUGAAAAGCCCGCUCGCCGGAAGACCAAGGGUUCCUGUCCAACGUUAAUCGGGGCAGGGUGAGUCGACCCCUAAGGCGAGGCCGAAAGGCGUAGUCGAUGGGAAACGGGUUAAUAUUCCCGUACUUGGUGUUACUGCGAAGGGGGGACGGAGAAGGCUAUGUUGGCCGGGCGACGGUUGUCCCGGUUUAAGCGUGUAGGCUGGUUUUCCAGGCAAAUCCGGAAAAUCAAGGCUGAGGCGUGAUGACGAGGCACUACGGUGCUGAAGCAACAAAUGCCCUGCUUCCAGGAAAAGCCUCUAAGCAUCAGGUAACAUCAAAUCGUACCCCAAACCGACACAGGUGGUCAGGUAGAGAAUACCAAGGCGCUUGAGAGAACUCGGGUGAAGGAACUAGGCAAAAUGGUGCCGUAACUUCGGGAGAAGGCACGCUGACACGUAGGUGAAGUGAUUUACUCAUGGAGCUGAAGUCAGUCGAAGAUACCAGCUGGCUGCAACUGUUUAUUAAAAACACAGCACUGUGCAAACACGAAAGUGGACGUAUACGGUGUGACGCCUGCCCGGUGCCGGAAGGUUAAUUGAUGGGGUCAGCGCAAGCGAAGCUCCUGAUCGAAGCCCC